rnacentral:rRNA from 1 species
CCUACGGGUGGCAGCAGUGGGGAAUAUUGGACAAUGGGGGGAACCCUGAUCCAGCCAUGCCGCGUGUGUGAAGAAGGCCCUCGGGUUGUAAAGCACUUUCAGUGAGGAAGAACGCCUGGUGGUUAAUACCCAUCAGGAAAGACAUCACUCACAGAAGAAGCACCGGCUAACUCCGUGCCAGCAGCCGCGGUAAUACGGAGGGUGCGAGCGUUAAUCGGAAUUACUGGGCGUAAAGCGCGCGUAGGUGGCUUGAUAAGCCGGUUGUGAAAGCCCCGGGCUCAACCUGGGAACGGCAUCCGGAACUGUCAAGCUAGAGUGCAGGAGAGGAAGGUAGAAUUCCCGGUGUAGCGGUGAAAUGCGUAGAGAUCGGGAGGAAUACCAGUGGCGAAGGCGGCCUUCUGGACUGACACUGACGCUGAGGUGCGAAAGCGUGGGUAGCAAACAGGAUUAGAUACCCGAGUAGUC